UACGUAGGGGGCAAGCGUUGUCCGGAUUUAUUGGGCGUAAAGCGCGUGUAGGCGGCUAGGUAGGUCCGCUGUGAAAACUUGAGGCUCAACCUCAAGAGGUCGGUGGAAACCAUCUAGCUAGAGUCCGGAAGAGGAGACUGGAAUUCCUGGUGUAGCGGUGAAAUGCGCAGAUAUCAGGAGGAACACCGAUGGCGAAGGCAGGUCUCUGGGCCAUAACUGACGCUGAGAAGCGAAAGCAUGGGGAGCGAACAGG
rnacentral:rRNA from 1 species